rnacentral:rRNA from 1 species
GCAUAUCAAUAAGCGGAGGAAAAGAAACCAACCGGGAUUGCCUCAGUAACGGCGAGUGAAGCGGCAAGAGCUCAAAUUUGAAAUCUGGCCCCUCCGGGGUCCGAGUUGUAAUUUGCAGAGGAUGCUUCGGGUGCGGCCCCUGUCUAAGUGCCCUGGAACGGGCCGUCAGAGAGGGUGAGAAUCCCGUCUUGGGCAGGGUGCCCGUGCCCGUGUGAAGCUCCUUCGACGAGUCGAGUUGUUUGGGAAUGCAGCUCUAAAUGGGUGGUAAAUUUCAUCUAAAGCUAAAUACCGGCCGGAGACCGAUAGCGCACAAGUAGAGUGAUCGAAAGAUGAAAAGCACUUUGAAAAGAGAGUUAAACAGCACGUGAAAUUGUUGAAAGGGAAGCGCUUGCGACCAGACUCGGCCCUGGGGUUCAGCCAGCACUCGUGCUGGUGUACUUCCCCAGGGGCGGGCCAGCGUCGGUUUGGGCGGCCGGUCAAAGGCCCCAGGAAUGUAUCGCCCUCCGGGGUUGUCUUAUAGCCUGGGGUGCAAUGCGGCCAGCCCGGACCGAGGAACGCGCUUCGGCACGGACGCUGGCGUAAUGGUCGCAAACGACCCGUCUUGAAACACGGACCAAGGAGUCUAACAUCUACGCGAGUGUUCGGGUGUCAAACCCGUACGCGCAGUGAAAGCGAACGGAGGUGGGAGCCCCCCCGGGGCGCACCAUCGACCGAUCCUGAUGUCUUCGGAUGGAUUUGAGUAAGAGCGUAGCUGUGGGGACCCGAAAGAUGGUGAACUAUGCCUGAAUAGGGCGAAGCCAGAGGAAACUCUGGUGGAGGCUCGCAGCGGUUCUGACGUGCAAAUCGAUCGUCAAAUUUGGGUAUAGGGGGCGAAAGACUAAUCGAACCAUCUGGUAGCUGGUUCCUGCCGA